AGCAGUAGGGAUCUUCCGCAUGGACGAAAGUCUGACGGAGCAACGCCGCGUGAGUGAUGAAGGUUUUCGGAUCGUAAAACUCUGUUAUUAGGGAAGAACAAAUGCGUAAGUAACUGUGCGCAUCUUGACGGUACCUAAUCAGAAAGCCACGGCUAACUACGUGCCAGCAGCCGCGGUAAUACGUAGGUGGCAAGCGUUAUCCGGAAUUAUUGGGCGUAAAGCGCGCGUAGGCGGUUUCUUAAGUCUGAUGUGAAAGCCCACGGCUCAACCGUGGAGGGUCAUUGGAAACUGGGAAACUUGAGUACAGAAGAGGAAAGUGGAAUUCCAUGUGUAGCGGUGAAAUGCGCAGAGAUAUGGAGGAACACCAGUGGCGAAGGCGACUUUCUGGUCUGUAACUGACGCUGAUGUGCGAAAGCGUGGGGAUCAAACAGGAUUAGAUACCCUGGUAGUCCACGCCGUAAACGAUGAGUGCUAAGUGUUAGGGGGUUUCCGCCCCUUAGUGCUGCAGCUAACGCAUUAAGCACUCCGCCUGGGGAGUACGACCGCAAGGUUGAAACUCAAAGGAAUUGACGGGGCCUGUA
rnacentral:rRNA from 1 species